rnacentral:lncRNA from 1 species
GGCAUGCGUAGAUGAGACUCCAUCUGCCCGGAGCAGCUUUCCUGAGCCUUGGAGGAUAGCUUCGUCAUGGCUCCUAGACUUCCGUUUAUCCUUGCUGCCUAUCUGGUUGCAGCCUGCAGCCUGGCCAUCCUGCAGGCUGGGAAGCACAGCCCCUGGCAAAAACCAGACGCGAGCACUUCAGAGAAGGAAGGAUGAGACAGGAAUUGAAGCUGAACAGCCACAUCUGUACAAGCUCAAAAAAAAAAGAAAAGAAAAAGCCUGGGUGCUUUCUCCUUUGGCACCAGCGAGACAUCCAAACCAUGGAAACCUCUGCCCAUAUGGAAUGCUCACCCUGGUCCCACGGUGAAUCAUAAUAGAGACCCAAGCCAGUCACCUUUCCUGGCCCUCACAAACCAUUUCUGACCUGCUUGAGAGGUCUGCCCGGUUCUCCCAGAGACCUCAAUUAUAAUUAGAAAAAAAUAUGCUAAAAUUCAAAUGGGAUAACAACAAAAAGAGUCCAAAUAGCCAAAGCAAUUCUAAGGAAAAAGAAAGCCAGAGGCAUCACAUUACCCAACUUCAAACUAUACUAUCAGGCUACACUAACCAAAACAGCAUGGUACUGGUACAAAAACAGACACAUAGACCAAUGAAACAGAGAAUCCAGAAAUAAAGCCAUACUUCUACAGCAAUCUGAUCUUCAACAAAGUCUACAAAAGUAAGCAGUGUGGAAAUAACUCCCUAUUCACUAAAUGGUGCUGGAAUAGCUGGCUAGCCAUAUACAGAAGAAUGAAACUGGACCCCUACCUUUCAUCAUAUAUAAAAAUUAACUCAAGGUGGAUUAAAUAUUUAAAUAUAAGACCUCUAACUAUAGAAAUCCUAGAAGAAAACCUAGGAAACACCAUUCCGGACACUGACCUUGGGAAAUAUUUAUGACUAAGUCCCCAAAAGCAAUUGCAACAAAACCAAAAAUUGACAUGUAGGACCUAAUUAAACUAAAGAGCUUCUGCACUUUUUCUGUGAACUAUUACCAGAGUAAAUGGACAAUCUACAGAAUAAGAGAAAAUGUUUGCAAACUAUGUAUCUGACAAAAGUCCAAUAUCCAGAAUCUAUAAGGAACUUAAAGCAAUAAGAAAAAAAAACGCAUUAAAAAAUAGGGACACGACAUGAACAGAUACUUCUCAAAAGAAGAAAUACAAGUGGCCAACAGACAUAUAAAAAAAUGCUCCACAUCACUAGUCAUCAGAGAAAUACAAAUCAAAACCACAAUUAAAUACCAUCUCGAAUAGUCAGAAUGGCUUUUGUUAAGAAGUCAAAAAUCAACAGAUGUUGGUGAGGCUGUGGAAAAAAUGAAACACUUACAUAUACUGUUGUGGGAGUGUAAACUAGUUCAGCCACUAUGGAGAGCAGUUUGGAGAUUUCUCAAAGAACUUACAACUAGCAUUCUACCCAGCAAUCCCAAUCCAGGGUGUAUAUCCACAAGAAAACAAAUUGUUCUACCAAAAGGACACUGUUCACAAUAGCAAAACCAUGGAAUCAACCCAGGCGUCCAUCAGUGGUGGAUUGAAUAAAGAAAAUACGGUACAUAUACACGAUGGAAUGCUACACAGCCAUAAAAAGAACAAAAUCAUGUUCUUUGCAGCAACAUGGAUGCAGCUGGAGGCCAUUAUCCUACGUGAAUUAAUGCAGGAACAGAAAAUCAGAUACUGCAUGUUCUCAUUUGUAAGUGGCAGCUAUACAUGGGGUACUCGUGGUCAUGAAGAUGUCAAUAAUAGACACUGGAGACUAGUAGAGUUGGGAGGGAGGGAGUGGGGCAAGGUUUGAAAAAUCAACUGUUGGGUACUACGCACAGUACCUGGGUGAUGCAAUCAUUCAUAUCCAAACCUCAGUUUCCCACAAUAUAUCCAGGUAACAAGCCUGCACAUGCACACUCUGAAUCUAAAAUGUAAGUUGAAAGAUAAAUACAUUAAGAUUGGUUUUUAUUUUUUCCUGAUUCAGCACCAGUAGAAAAAUGUAAGAGUCCCGGGAAUUUCUUCAUAUAUGUUAUUAAUGAAUAUUUUGCAUCAUACAAAUUAUGAAAUUAGUUAGCUUUAUAUACAUUGGAUGUUGCACCAGAGUCCAAGUAACCAGAAUUCAACACCAAUCUUUCUAAUUUUCUUCACCUGUUGAAUGACUUUAUGCACAUGGCUGACAGGGUUUUAUAUUCUUGCUCUUCCAAAGUUUAGUCCGUAGGUGAGUAGCCUGGCCUCACCCAGGAGCUAGUUAAGAAUGCCGAAUAUCAGCCCACCUCAGGCCUAUUGGAUCAGAAUUUGUAGUUUAACAAGCUCCUUAGGUGAAUCAAAUGUAUAUUAAAAUUUGAGAAACACCCCUCUAGACUAAUGAUCCUCAAAUUUCAAUCUUUCCCAUAUCACUUUCAUGAUCUCUUCUAUAACAAUAUGCUAAUCUUUAACUGAGGUUCUUUUCAUUUAAUCAACUUAUUUCACCCAAAUAUAUAUAUAGAAACUAGAUAGAAAUAUCAGUUGCCAUAUGUGGAAUAUAAUGGCACAAAAAUUUAUAAUGACAUAAAACAAUAGUAUGAAAUUUCUACAGGUUAUUUGGCAUGGUUGUGAUGAAGAUAAAAUGUGCGAAUAAAUGUAAGGCACUUGGAACGAUGCCUGACAUAUAAUAAAUUACUGUGCAAGUUUUAACUAUUUUAUUACCAUUAAAAUUAAAUAACAAUUAUUAAUAAGCUUUUUUUAUCAAAAGGAAAAUUAGUACUAGAAAAAAGUUAAGGUUAGUACCACAUUGAAAUUAAAAGGAAAUUUAAAAGGAGCCAAAUUUCUCAUUAUUUAGCUGAAUGUAAUACUGUGUCCAUGUACCACCUAAUCUCAUCAUAUGGCAACCAGUGGUGUAUCUGCUUUGCUCCUUGAAAAACAAAAACAAACAAAAAAACCCACUUGUUUAGAUCUAGAUAGACAUGUUUGUAAAAUGGGUAAUAAUUAAGGGCAUAUUAAUUUCAAAUGUAUAAGGAUAAAAUUACACCACUUAAAUAUUCCACAAUUCAUAUAAUAAUUUUCUAUUGUCAAAUAUUAAAGGCUUGUUUGCUUGCUUUUUGCAUUUGUAAAUAAAGUCAUCCUUUGAUAUCUCUGGGGGAUUGUUUCCAGCACCUCCUGGGAAUAUCAAAAUCUGUGGAUGUUCACGUUUCUUAUAUAAAGUGGCACAGUAUUUGCAUAUAAUCUACACACACCCUAUCAUAUACUUUAAAUCAUCUGUAGAUUACUUAUACCACGUGAUGCAAUAUAAAUGCUAUGUAAGUAGUUGUUAUACUGCAUUGUUUAGACAAAUGACAAGACGAAAAAGUCUAUACAUAUUCAGUACAGACACAAUUUUCUUUAAGUCUACAGAUGUAGGACGCACAGAUAGGAAGAGCCAGUUGUAAUGCUAUGAUGAGCCAUUUUUCCUUUCCUUUUGGCAAAGAUGAAUGUUGAUGGGAUUACAGGGAACUAGAUACCUUCAAACUCUUUUUUUUGAGACGGAGUCUCACUCUGUCGGUCGCCCAGGCUGGAGUGCAGUGGCGCGAUGUCGGCUCACUGCAACCUCUGCCUCCUGGGUUCAAGCGACUCUCCUGCCUCAACCUCCCGAGUAGCUCGGACUACAGGCACCCGCCACCAUGCCUGGCUAAUUU